AGGGCUUAUCUUAGUUUUAAGGGCCUGAGGCGCAUUCAUGAGAUGUGGGUUAAUCUCCCGUAAGCCUUA
rnacentral:tRNA from 1 species